AGUGAACGCUGGCGGUAUGCCUAACACAUGCAAGUCGAACGGCAGCACAGUAAGAGCUUGCUCUUACGGGUGGCGAGUGGCGGACGGGUGAGGAAUACAUCGGAAUCUACUUUUUCGUGGGGGAUAACGUAGGGAAACUUACGCUAAUACCGCAUACGACCUACGGGUGAAAGCAGUGGAUCUUCGGACCUUGCGCGAUUGAAUGAGCCGAUGCCGGAUUAGCUAGGUGGCGGGGUAAAGGCCCACCAAGGCGACGAUCCGUAGCUGGUCUGAGAGGAUGAUCAGCCACACUGGAACUGAGACACGGUCCAGACUCCUACGGGAGGCAGCAGUGGGGAAUAUUGGACAAUGGGCGCAAGCCUGAUCCAGCCAUACCGCGUGGGUGAAGAAGGCCUUCGGGUUGUAAAGCCCUUUUGUUGGGAAAGAAAAGCAGCAGGUUAAUACCCCGCUGUUCUGACGGUACCCAAAGAAUAAGCACCGGCUAACUUCGUG
rnacentral:rRNA from 1 species